rnacentral:lncRNA from 1 species
AUGAAGUGUUUCUCCUCUGUGAUGCCCUCUGCCAUUCUACCUUGCACAGGAGCCAGCCAACUAGGACUGAAACCUCUACAAACUGUGAGCUACACUGAACCUUUCCUCCCUCAACCUUGGGCACUGGUAUUUUGUCUCAGCAACAAGAAGACUAAUGAAGACAUGCCCGUUCCUCCCUGCAGCUUCCCUUCAGGGCCUACAACGAUUGGAGGAUAUGUUUGGAAAACUGAGAAAGCGCCAAGAGAAAGUCCCAAAAGAUCUGCAAAAGAAAAAACUGAAAAAGGAAGAAAUGUUAGAAUAGCAGAGAGGAAAAGUCUGCGUUAUAAAAUGGAAAGGUAAGAAAAGACAUUUCCUUAUUGUCAACUAUUCGUAAUACAGAAAUGAUAGAACUUAAAAAAAGAAAUGAAACUAAAGAAGUUACAGUAGUGGUCGACGAUUACAGUAAUUCUGUGGGUGGUGUUGACAGAGUGGCCCACAAUCUAGAGAGCCUAUACUCAAAGAGCAAGGAAAAAUAUUAAUGUAAAAUAUUUAUGCACCUUCUGGACCAAAAAUAUGGAACUCAUUUGUUAUUUAUUCAAAACACAGGGGUUCAAAAUGUCAUUUACACUUUAGAGUAGGGUUAAAAGACCAAGUAACUGCAAAAUAUGGGAUAAUGAAAUGCCAAUCAGAUGUAUAGCAUUGAUGUCUUCACCAUUAUGUUUAGUGGGUAGAGAUUUCAUUGAAAUUAUGGCACCCACAAAAAAAAUAAGGGAGGGACUGGGGAUUUAGCUUAGUGGCACAGCACCUGCCUGGCAAGCGCAAGGUCAUGAGUUUGAUUCCCGGUACCAGAAAAACACGAAAAAAAUUAAAAAAGGGAAAGGCUAACAAGAUAGUAUCAAGUAUGUUGUUCAAAGAAAGAUAAUGAUACAUAAAGAAUUUGGAAAGAGACUAGACCCUACUAUCCAGAUUGUUACAUCAUGUUAUGUAUUGAAUGUUUUAAGAUAUACCGUACGCAGAAAAAUUACUGAAUAAAUUUGAUAAAACUGUCAUUUUUAUACGUCCUAUUGUAUUAUAAAAAUUAAUGAAAAUGAAAUUUUGGUCAUCCAGUAUUUAAAUAACUGGACUGGUGAGUGGUUAAUCACGGACAAAGAAAAUGUGACAGCUUACUGUGAAGACCCUGCAGUGAGAUGGAAGAAAAUGGUCUGGCUGGGGCUGGGGAUUUAGCUCAGCGGCAAAAGCGCCUGCUUGGCAAGCGCAAGGUUAUGAGUUCGGUUCCCGGUACCGGAGAAAAACCAAAAAAAAAAAAAAAGAAAAUGGUCUGGCUCCAAGAACAAUAAAGGUUAAAAAAAAAAAAGGCAGCAGAUGAGGAAUUAGAGGGCAGGGCGGAAAUCAGCACCUGACCUCUGUCUGCUGGUCCUCACAGGUGAGGUGAGCACCUGUAGCCACGGUCCUGUGUACACGCACUACUUUCUCUCUGCAGCCUUAGCUCCGCUGUGGGGAAUGAAAACUGCCUUGGUGAGCAGCAAUCCCGCUCAUGUAGAGCAUCCAGAGACAAAGCUCAUGGCUGCUUCCUGGAUGAUCAAAACCUGACGGGCUGCCUCCUUUGCGGAGGCUGCCAAGCACAAACCCUUCAAUUCAAAGGCUGUUUCCUCACAGAGCAGGAGGUCUCACAGGGAGCAACUGUAAAGCUCCCUUUACCUUUGAACUUCAUUAGAAAGACCAACUCUUUUAUAAAAGGAACAAAAUACUUAAAGAUGGAAGUGUUAAAACGAACAUCCAGAUCUGGAAGGCUGCUGGGUAAUAGGGUAGCCAAGGGAUCAGGCUUGGGAACACGGCACACGAUGAAGUUACAUCAAGCAGCUGGGGAAAGAAGAAGGAAAUGUGUUCGGUGAAGGAGAGCAGAGUGGACUCUUCUGGAGCCUCCUCCCCACAGGCCAAGUUCCUGCCAAGAUGCCUCUCUGGCAAGGAUUCUUGG